UCGUGGGAUUCCACCAACAACACGGCUUAUUACUUCGCCAUAGCUGUGGACUCAGACCAACUGGUAACUGAAUGCCUCACUGUGGACACCUCCUGUUUUUUCACCGACACCGUCUGUGGUAAAACCUACAGCUUCUAUGUCAGAUCCAUCUACACCGGAGGACUAGACUGCAACACUGGAUACACAGACGGGGUGGUGAUCAAAACGGGUGAGUCAGUCAUUUUGGUAAAAAUGUAUAAAUAUUGAAUUUUCCAUUAUAUUCCGUUAUAAGCACUAUACAAAUAAAUGUGAGUUUGAAUUGUUUUUAAUUAAAAUUCUUUAUUUUGGCCCCCUCUGUCUCCUUACCCAUGUAGCCCCAUGUUUACCGCAGAACAUUUACACAACAGCAAACUGUGCUAGCAUCAGCAGUGCCGUCAUUACUUGGCAUGAGGCCGCAGGAGCCAAGACCUACAUUGUGGAGGCCCGCGGCAAUCGUAAAGAUUUCUACAACUGUUCGUCUGCAAACACAAGCUGCACGCUAACAGAUCUGGAAUGCGGAGAGAGCCUGAGCGUGUGGAUUGUUGCCACAAAUGGUGACUGUACUACUGAUCCUGUGCUGGGAGAGGUGGCAGAGACAGGUGAGUGAUUCUGGGUGAUGUGGUAAUACCAAUUGCAAUGUAAAUACCAUUGCAUAUGAAUAUGAACUCAUAAAAAAAGUACUGUGGCAUGGUUUUAGAUUGUGAUACUAUACACUAUUUCUCCCACCGUAGUUCCGUGCAUACCUCAGAACGUGUCCGCUGUGAAGACUUGUAGUUCAGAGUCUGCCUCUCUCACAUGGAACAAUGCCAAUGGUGCCGUCUUGUACAUUGGAACGGCAACGCACAUAGACGGUACAGUUCACACCUGCGCUGCCAUGGCGCCAGAGUGCACAUUCCCAAACCUGCGAUGUGGCGAGACAUAUGAUGUGAAAGUCAAAGCAACUAACCUGCAAUGCAACAGUUCUGAGAGUCAACAUGUCACCCUGCAGACGGCUCCAUGUGCUCCAGUCAGAGUGGGGGUCACUAGAGACUGUGCAGCGAAUCACGUGAUAGCAAGCUGGCAGGCCCUUCAGGCUGGGAGUCUGUACACGGCAGUACUGCAGGAUGAACAUGGACCCACAGUUAACUGCAGCACCAGCUCUAACAACUGCACAUUCACAGACCUGCUCUGUGGAAUGAACUACAACCUCACAGUCACAAGGAAUGAUGGUCAAUGCAGGAGUCUGCCAUCCUCAUCCAUUCAGAUACAGUCAGGUAAAAGUCAUGUGAUCAUGCAUGCAUGUUUACACAGUAAUAACAGAUCUUUGAAACCGACUAUCUAUCUCCUUUAG
rnacentral:lncRNA from 1 species